GGUUAUGGCUCAGUGGUAGAGCACUCACCUAGCACAUGCGAGGCCCUGGGUUUGAUCCUCAGCACCA
rnacentral:tRNA from 1 species